rnacentral:rRNA from 1 species
UUCUGGCUCAGAUUGAACGCUGGCUGGAUGUUUACAUGCAAGUCGAACGGCAGCACGGACUUCGGUCUGGUGGCGAGGCGGGCGAACGGUAGCAAUACCGGAACGUGCCUAGUAGCGGGGGGAUAAUAACUACGCGAAAGCGUAGCUAAUACCGCAUACGCCCUUCGGGGAAAGCGGGGACCUUCGGGCCUCGCACUAUUAGAUGUGGCCGAUAUCGGACGUUACGGCUGCGGUAACGGCUCACUAAGGCGACGAUCUGGCUGGUUUGAGAGGACGACUGUACCACACCGACUGAGACACGGCCCAGACUCCUACGAGUGGCAGUGGGGAAUUUUGGACAAUGGGGGAAACUCCUGAUCCAGCCAUCCUGGCGUGCGCGAUGGAAGGCCUUCGGGUUAAAAAGCACUUUGGCAGGAAGAAACGGCACGGGAUAAUACCCCGUGCAACUGACGGUACCUGCAGAAUAAGCACCGGCUAACCAUGCGCCGCAGCCGCGGCAUGCAGGGUAAGCACCUGGAAUUACUGGGCGUAAAAGCGUGCGCAGGCGGUUCGGAAAGAAAGAUGAAAUCCCAGAGCUUAACUUUGGAACUGCAUUUUAACUACCGAGCUAGAGUGUGUCAGAGGGAGGUGGAAUUCCGCGUGUAGCAGUGAAAUGCGUAGAUAUGCGGAGGAACACCGAUGGCGAAGGCAGCCUCCUGAUAACACUGACGUCAUGCACGAAAGCGUGGGGCGGCCAGGAUUAGAUACCCCUGGUAGUCCACGCCCUAAACGAUGUCAAUCCAUUGUUAAAUUUCGGGGCCUUGUAGUAGCUAACGUGGUGGAAGCCGCGUCCGCCUGGGGUACGGUCGCAAGAUUAAAACUCAAAGGAAUAGACGGGGACCCGCACAAGCGGUGGAUGAUGUGGAUUAAUCUGGAUGCAACGCGAAAAACCUUACCUACCCUUUAUGUCUGAAUCCCAGCGGAUUUGAGUGCCUGCAAGAGAACCGGAACGACAGGUGCGCCAGCAUGGCUGUCGUCAGCUCGUGUCGAGAUGUUGGGUUAAGUCCCGCAACGAGCGCAACCCUUGUCAUUAGUUGCUACGAAAGGGCACGCACGAGACUGCCGGUGACAAACCGGAGGAAGGUGGGGAUGACGUCAAGUCCUCAUGGCCCUUAUGGUAGGGCUUCACACGUCAUACAAUGGUCGGGACGGGUGGUCGCCAACCCGCGAGGGGGGAGCCAAUCCUGAAACCGCGAUCAGUCCGGAUCGCAGCUCCAGGCCUGACUGCGUGAAGUCGGAAUCAAGCGGGCAAUUCCUGCGGAUCAGCAUGUCGCGGUGAAUACGUUCCCGGGUCUUGUACACACCGCCCGUCACACCAUGGGAGGCUUUACCGGUAGCGUAGUUAGCCUAACCGUGUGAGGGCGAUUACCACGGUAGAUUCAUGACUGGGGUGAAGUUCAACAAGGUAG